rnacentral:lncRNA from 1 species
GGCUUGCUCUUGUGUCUGCCUUUCUCGGCUGUCAGGAGGACAUUGUACUCCUGUCCUGGUUCCAGGCCUCUCAGGACAUAGGAAGUGGUGUUUCUUGGAAGCUGCACUCCCACCCACUGGCCUGUGGGGAGACUGUAAUUGAGGCGGUAGCGGUCAAAUUUGGCCAACGGUGUCUUCCAGAGCAGGGUCAGGCUGGUCUCUGCAGUUUCAGAAACCUG